rnacentral:ncRNA from 15 species
UUGACUUCAACCGCGUUUAUUGCCAAACAACCAAGCGAAGAUAACGGGCGAACAGGGAAUCCCGUGAAAAUCGGGAGCGGGCCCGCCGCUGUAAACGGGAACCAGGGCCGCGCAUGCCACUGGCCGUGAGGCAGGGAAGGGGCGGCCCAAGGGUUGAUCCGUAAGCCAGAAUAGUUGCCGCCGGUUCGCCAUAGCUC